UACGAAGGGGGCUAGCGUUGUUCGGAAUUACUGGGCGUAAAGCGCACGUAGGCGGACUAUUAAGUCAGGGGUGAAAUCCCGGGGCUCAACCCCGGAACUGCCUUUGAUACUGGUAGUCUCGAGUCCGAUAGAGGUGAGUGGAAUUCCUAGUGUAGAGGUGAAAUUCGUAGAUAUUAGGAAGAACACCAGUGGCGAAGGCGGCUCACUGGAUCGGCAUUGACGCUGAGGAGCGAAAGCCAGGGGAGCAAACGGG
rnacentral:rRNA from 1 species